rnacentral:tRNA from 1 species
GCCGCUAUAGCUCAGUGGUAGAGCACUGGUCUCGUAAACCGGGGUCGUGAGUUCAAACCUCACUGGCGGCA